rnacentral:lncRNA from 1 species
CUUCUUUGUUGUUAUAUAGUUUUGCUCAAGUAUGAAAUACUGGUUGUCUCAGUUUUUUCAUCUAUCUUUUUCUUUUUUUCUCCGUUCAAGAGUCAGACAUUUCUAUUAUUCACGUCCCCGAUGAGGCUACAUGAUCCCAUUAGCAUCAACCCCUGGCAGAUCACAAGGCAGCAGCGACAGACAGCCUGUCUGUGAGCAACCCUGCACAGCAAACACACUAAGCCUCCAUUAAAGCUCGUUUAUUGCAGUUUAAUGCUGCGCUUUAAUGCCAUCAUGACACUGUUUUAAAUCGCUAAUCCAGCAGCAACAACAGAGUACCUGUCAGUGUGGAGCCACUUUAUAUUUAAACCAGUUGGCUAUCUUUAAAUUGAUGUUUAAAAUGAACUAAACUUUCCUUUUUUGUGAGUUGAAUGCUCAAACUGACCUGUGACAAGUUUUGGGUAAUGAGUAAACAUAUUAAUGCUUUAGUUUUCAACUGGAACUUUAACUCCUAUGUUUAAUUAUGCAAACACUGCAGCCGCUCCCUGUUCUUAACUCACCAAAGCUCACCGGCCUAUUCAUCCGUCCUCUUAUGUUUUUAAAAGCAGUCCUAGGCUGCAUGACUCACUUGAUUGGGGAAUGAGACAAAAAAAAAUUCCUGGCUCAUUUGACGCACCUGUGAGCUCGCAAAGUCGCACGUCACAUGUUGGAGCCUUAUUUAGACCACAGACAAAGGCGUGGAUGAAACCCGAGCUUGCCAGCCUCCUCUCUGUUGCCAUGACGACAGCUGCCAUCUCCAGUCCCCCUCUGUGUGAAGAGGCUCAGAGGACUUGUGGUAGAAGACUCCGCCCACAUGAGGGGGGGGGGGUAUUCACACAUCAAACCUGGCUACACAAAAGUGAUAUUUGGAAACUGUUUAGAGAGCCGAAGGAAUCAGAGGCCGGUCUUGAGUCAAAUGAUUCUCUUCCAUCUCUGCCCUGUGCGGCCUAUUUACAGCCCACAGCUGAGGGCGACGCAGGGCGUGUUGCUAUCGCUGGCAGGUGCAGGAGCAGGUUGAGCAGGUUUUUCUCUGAAUGCCACGCUGUUGGGCCCUCCUCCCUGCCUCUCUCUCCAGGACGGCUGGUGAUUCACUCUUACAAAGUGGCAGGUGAGCGAAAAGAUUUGGUUGCCCGGGCACCUGUUCUCAUCCGAUACAGCCGAAGAAUAAGUAUUUUCU